rnacentral:rRNA from 1 species
UGAGGAAUAUUGGUCAAUGGGCGGGAGCCUGAACCAGCCAAGCCGCGUGAGGGAUGAAGGCCCUAUGGGUCGUAAACCUCUUUUGUCAGGGAACAAAAGCGAGUAUGUAUACUAGUCUGAGUGUACCUGAAGAAAAAGCAUCGGCUAACUCCGUGCCAGCAGCCGCGGUAAUACGGAGGAUGCGAGCGUUAUCCGGAUUUAUUGGGUUUAAAGGGUGCGUAAGCGGCGGUGCAAGUCAGCGGUAAAAGCCCGGGGCUCAACCCCGGCGAGCCGUUGAAACUGCAGUGCUAGAGAAGGCGAGAGGUACGCGGAAUGCGCAGUGUAGCGGUGAAAUGCUUAGAUAUUGCGCAGAACUCCGAUUGCGAAGGCAGCGUACUGGCGCCUGACUGACGCUGAGGCACGAAAGCGUGGGGAUCGAACAGGAUUAGAUACC